CGUAUCCUGAAACAAAUCGCACGUCAUCUUAUCGUUCUUCUUCUAAAGAUAUCAGUGCAAUUAACGACUUCUCCAAGCUCAGCAUGCAAUUGACAGCAAUUUCUUAUUCCAGAUAAUGACAAUAAUGAGCGUAUAGUGGGUUGUGAAACGAUUUAUUUAUUUAUUUAACAUAGACAAGUCCCUUUAUCAUGUGUCAGUAGAACAUAGGAUAUGCUGUGCUUACAUAUAUAAGUACAUUUAGUCAGAUAAGGCAAAGCAACAAUCGAAAAAAACAAAAAACCCGAUAUAUAAACAAAAUAAACGCGAGCAGUAAAGUAUCAACAUCGGUAAUACAAGUCGUGAUCAGCAAUAUAAGCAAUUAAAUUCAAGUAGCAGAAACAAUCAUACCCUCGUAAAUCGGCACUGUAUGAGACACCCCGUCGCCGCUAUCCAGGACGAUGCCGGUCGUGCGGCCCGACGCGUACAACGACAGGACAGCUUGAAUAGCGACGUACAUGGCCGGUGUGUUGAAGGUCUCGAACAUGAUCUGCGUCAUCUUCUCGCGGUUGGCCUUCGGGUUCAACGGUGCCUCCGUCAGCAAAACGGGAUGCUCCUCCGGCGCAAUUCGCAGCUCGUUGUAGAAAGUGUGGUGCCAGAUCUUCUCCAUAUCGUCCCAAUUGGUGACGAUGCCGUGCUCGAUGGGAUAUUUGACGGCAUUGUUGCUCCAAAUAUAUCUCUACCUGAUAUCGGGGCCUUCCGACGAUAGAUGGGAAUACGGCUCGAGGAGCAUCGUCCCCGGCAAACCCUGCCUUGCACAUUCCGGACCCAUUGUCGAUCACCAACGCGGCCACGUCGUCGUCGCACAUUUCGGAAGAGUGUAUUAUCUCCACGUGUUGAAUAAAGUGUUGUGACGACGUUGAAAUUAGUGUUCGGUUAACGGCGCAAACGGAUAACUAGGACAAUCGGAGAGGAUAAAAUGGACUAGAUGUUACACCGUCCUCACGUGACAUUGGCUUCUGGAGCAUUGUGUUUUCCUGGAAGGAAGAGUCGCUUUAUAUGAGCUCCCCUCCUGUUACUGUUGCUCGGCCGCACAGGAGUAUCCGUUUUUACGCCAAGACAACCGGGAACAACCGGGGUGGAUCUUCGAAGCCGCUUAAUAGUAGCAGAUUUCUUUCAUAAUAAGUGCAAAGAAAAUACUUUCGCGCUCGCUGUAGAACGGAUUCGUGAUUGGGCGAUUUUUUUUAGUGAAAACUGCUCGAGUUUCCUUUCAAGUUUACAUGACAAAAACGUUGUUAAUAAGAGAAAUACAACGUACAUUGUCAGCGUGACAUUGCGAAUGAAAUAUACAAAUAUCACAAAUGUGAUACAUAAAUGAGAAGAGCGUAUAACAAGCGAAAAGUAACAUUCCGACCUUAGCGAUACGACAUAGCGCGAUGUAAUAUACAGACGUAAUUUGUCGUCAUUACAAAAACACUGUGUGUCCAUCAGAUAGGAUUCUUGCAUAUUUAUUACGCGUUUUUAAAAAAUAUCUAGCGACUUUUUUAAUACCGUACUUAAUUGCUCUCUUUAAUGCAUGCCAAUUACUACUACUGGCAGUUACUAACCGCUUGUAAUGUUAUCUCCAUUGAAUGCGCAAAGUUCUCGCGGUAACUAGAGCAUACGCCUUCCUGCGUUUUUCGAGUCUUGCAUUGAUUUUUCUGCAAAUUCUCGGUGGACCGCAAUUUCUUUAGAUAGACCGCGAGAAGAAUGUAAUUUCACUUGCAGAAAUUUUUCGAAUGAACAAAUACUAUGCAAGACAAAAUGUUCCUUAAAAUCUACUAAAAAUAUCUAUAAAUCGUGAUAAAUAUAAAUGUCUCUUUUUCUCUUUCAUUCUCUCUCUCUCUCUCUUUCUCAUCUAUCUAUCUACUUCUAUCUUUCUAUCUCUCAAGCUAACAAGUUAUUAUUUCAUUAUUCUGUUUGGUUCUUAAAUUACACGAUAUGCAAAUUAUAUCACUUAUGUCCUAGAGAACUAACAGUAACAUUUCUACAAGUUGUCAUUGAGGCUUUGAGAUACAGGUUUCUCGAUUCUACGAUUUCUGCCCACAUGUGUCGCAGGGUGACAAAAUUGGACAAAAAGAGGUAACGAAAGCUCAUGAGGUUAAUGGGGCAACAGGCCAAGAUGUCUUAAUUGUUUUAGAUUGCCUCCUACAAAUGUGUGUAGCUUUCUAAAAAUAGAUAAUCGAUGUACACCUCAAGAUACUUGUGUGAUAUUUUUUUUAUAUUAUUUGCGCAGGAAUUGCAAUAGAGAGAGUAAUUAUCUAUAUAUUUACUAAAUUUUACAAUGAACUUGUACUGUUUAGAGCUAUCAAGAAGACUUCAUAUCGAAAAACGUAACUUAAGAAUAAGAAUGAAUAUUAGUUUCUUUUUUACUGAUUCGUUGAUAUAUCAACGCGGUCGCAGACUGAAUCGCAGUCUAGUCUCAUUGCGUUCGCAUCACUUGCGGAUAACAAGCUUUAUUCCAUUAUGGAUAUUUUACAAACCAGCGCACAUUACAGCGAGUCGCUGUUCCGUAGACUGAUCACCUACCAGAGCGUCCUUACAAUCGCCAUAUUAUGCUCCAUAAUUAACUGUUCAAUUAAUGAUACUAAUUAGGCUGUGAAAUUAAGUACCCACUCCAGUUUGAAACUUUUGCAUAAAACCACUCCUAACAUUUUUAACGGCAUGGUGCUGGUGAUAAAAUGACCACGUAUAAACAAUCGCAUUCGCGAGUCAUGUUAUAUAAAAUACCCGAUUAAAAUUAGACAAGCGACACGCAUCACUUCACAGUUAUAUACACUUUUGUACACACGCGUUCAUAUGUACAUACACACAUACAUAUAUAUAUAUAUAUCCAAUGAACGAGAGGUGCAUGUCAGAAUAGCAUGGAGAAAGCAAUUGGAAAGAAAAAUAUGAUCGCGCACUUGUCAAGUACAGCUACUUGGAAAAAUGACUUUACAAAUAUCUUGGACUACACGUGUAUAAGUUUAUAGGCGCUUACAUAUUUUACACACAUAAUCGAUCAAAAGGCAAAAUAACAAACAUGUUUAAUGUCCUUUUUUCUUCGUUUCUUAAUGAUUCCGACGUGCACUUCCGCGCAAAUAGAUAUCGUUUCAUCUUUGUACAAAUACUGCACAAAAAGCAGUAUUAUAUAUCGGUAUGUACGAACGUUCUUUAUAAAAUAAUUUGACUUCAAGUAGUGAGAAUAAAUUAGGAAAUGUCGAUUGCCAACGUCAUUAUA